rnacentral:rRNA from 1 species
AACGAACGCUGGCGGCAGGCCUAACACAUGCAAGUCGAGCGAGCAUUUCAGUGCUAGCGGCGGACGGGUGAGUAACGCGUGGGAACGUGCCCUUUUCUGCGGAAUAGUCCUGGGAAACUGGGGGUAAUACCGCAUACGCCCUUUUGGGGAAAGAUUUAUCGGAGAAGGAUCGGCCCGCGUUGGAUUAGGUAGUUGGUGGGGUAAUGGCCCACCAAGCCGACGAUCCAUAGCUGGUUUGAGAGGAUGAUAAGCCACACUGGGACUGAGACACGGCCCAGACUCCUACGGGAGGCAGCAGUGGGGAAUCUUAGACAAUGGGGGCAACCCUGAUCUAGCCAUGCCGCGUGAGUGAUGAAGGCCUUAGGGUUGUAAAGCUCUUUCAGCUGGGAAGAUAAUGACGGUACCAGCAGAAGAAGCCCCGGCUAACUCCGUG